UUUUAUAGAAAUUGUUGUUGGGAUGUCAUUUACUUCCGCACUUUGUUAGAUAUUGGGUUUUAGGCUGACUUGUCUUGGUGGGAUAAGACGAGUGUCAUCACACCCAUUUCGGGUCGUGACAACAAAAUAGUUGAAUGCAAUUUGAUGUUAUGCUUCGUUUGUGUGGGUUUAGAUUUCUUCAAUUUUGGCUUUCUUUUUUUGUCUUCUUUAGCUCCUUUUUAUCUUAAUUUUGGACUUUGCUUUGAACUUUAAUUUUUUGUAUUUCUGAGUUUCAUCUUGUUUGUCUAUAGUUUCAAAUGAAAACAUAAAAACAUAACAUGAAAUUAACUGUGAAACUAAAAAUACGAUGAUAAAAAUAAAUCCAUCGGAAAAUUAAUUAAUGAAGCGAACAGUAGAAACCUACUGCUUCAAUGCUAUCCUUUGAUCCCCCGCACAUAUUUUUGAGUUUAAAUUGGUUAUAAACUUAAAAUUGAACUGAAAUUUUUCUCCUUCCCUUCCCUUCCCUUCCCUUGUUCUUUUAUUCGAUACUUACACAGACACAUAGCCAUCAUCAAACAUGCAUAAAUAUUACUGCAACUUAGAACCUGUAUAUUAAAGUAUAUUUUCAAAUUUCAAUUUUUCUUGUCAGGUUCUCAUAGGAUGUUGUUUCAUAUGUGUAUUGUGGUUCAUUUCUAGGAAAUUCAAGUACCUGUUUUAGGCAGGAGAAAUUCAUUAGAUGGUGAAAUUGGGAGUAAUGAAGGACUAUGUCAUUAUAGAGGUAAUUUCAGGGAGUAUGUCUAUACGCGUUAUAUGAGGGAGGUUUGCUCAAAUUCAAUUAUGGAAGUCAAUAGAACACUAUCAAAUUCUUGAUUCGUAGUGCUUCAAAGUUCUCUCAAUUUUACUAAUUAUAAAUGCUUAUUAACAUGUUUAACAUUUCCUCAACUUAUAAGUACCUAAUUUAACUCACACAAGUGUAUCAUUGACGAUCAAAUUAAACACAGCAAUUCAAAUUGAUCCCCCUUAUGGACAAUGACAACAACUACGAGCAUGGAUAAUAGAGAAUAAAGCUACACUUACUACAUUUACUUUGAGGAGCACAUCCAAAUCUGGAUCUCUCAUCUCCACUCCAGUAGAUGAAGAAGUCAUCCCAAUUGCAAACGCCAAAUCCCAGAAAAAUAUUAGUAAAAAAAUUAAUUCAUUAUUUAUCUAACACUCACAACAAACACCUGCAUUCACUUUCCUUACACAGGGACAGACAUUUUCAAUUGAAGCAAAGAUAUCCUUCCCGGCUGACCAAAAGAAAUACUAUGUUGUAGUAUGUUUUAUUGUGGACAGGACGUCCGUUACCCAAUCAUCAUGCAAAUUCACUGCAUGAACUGCGGCCAACACAUAAUGUUCAUCCCCAAGUACUAUAUUACUGCACCAACAACAUCAAAUUUGUGUACUUAAUUUUUUAUGACAAGUAAUAACAUUUUCAACAUACAAUCACAGGUGUCGAUUUAAUGUAAAUCUGGAAGAUAACUCAGGUACAACAACAGGAAUGAUUAUUAUAAAAAAAGGGAGAAAAAUUGAUAUCCCUAAGUGCGGAAGAAAAAUACGAAAGAAAUUACAGUCAGAUAUAAACUCUAACUAAAUAAUAUAGGUAUGAUUCUUACAUAAAUAAAGUGAUUAACAUGAUUUCAUACAUAAUCAAUUCAUGCAAUUAUCCCCCUAUAAAGGAUCACACAGGCUUACCAACAAGAUCUUUUCUAUUCAGGCAAAAAAAGGCGUUUACACGUGCUCCAAAUCCGAAUGCUACAAAACUGUACAUCCAGUCGUGCAUGGAAAAGGAAUACACCACAUCCCCCUACAACACCAAACGAAAUCAAUAUCCAGGAAGUAAGAAAAGGAAAACAACAGGCUGAACCAGAACAAACGAGUAAACAUGCAGAAUCAUCAUCACUAAGAAUGAAGCAGAAGUUGGAGCCACCAACUCCAGAAAAACCAAACUAAAGUUGAUCCAAGCUUUUUGGCAGCUACUUUUUACCUCUGUAAAGAACAGGAAACAACACUUUUGGAGAUCUCAUCAGGUCAAUCAGUUGCCCACCACUUCGUACAGUUUCUGCUUUGCCACCAGGCCAGUCAAAUCUUUUUGCCUGAACUCCAUUCAGAAUCCAACUUCAAAGGCCUAACACGCAACUGCACCACUAACAUCCAUUUUCCCUCUUUUCUUUGCGAGCUUACUGUAUAACCUUACACAAAAGUAAUGUAAAUAUAUUUCAAAUAUGACCGCGCUUUCUUUAU